rnacentral:rRNA from 1 species
CCUACGGGAGGCUGCAGUGAGGAAUAUUGGUCAAGGGGCGCGAGCCUGAACCAGCCAAGUCGCGUGAGGGAAGACGGUCCUAUGGAUUGUAAACCUCUUUUGUCGGGGAGCAAAAGACGACACGCGUGGCGUUCCGAGAGUACCCGAAGAAAAAGCAUCGGCUAACUCCGUGCCAGCAGCCGCGGUAAUACGGAGGAUGCGAGCGUUAUCCGGCUUUAUGGGGGUUAAAGGGUGCGUAGGCGGUCGGAUAAGUGAGAGGUGAAAUCCCGAGGCUCAACUUCGGAAUUGCCUCUGAUACAGUUCGGCUAGAGCGUAGUUGCGGUCGGCUGCAUGUCUGGUGUAGCGG